GCCCUGUAGACUGGGAUAACUUCGGGAAACCGGAGCUAAUACCGGAUAAUCCAUUUCACCUCAUGGUGAAAUGUUAAAAGGCGCAUUCUCGCGUCACUACAGGAUGGGCCCGCGGUGCGUUAGCUAGGUUGGUGGGGUAACGGCCUACCAAGGCAACGAUGCAUAGCCGACCUGAGAGGGUGAUCGGCCACAUUGGGACUGAGACACGGCCCAAACUCCUACGGGAGGCAGCAGUAGGGAAUCUUCCACAAUGGAGGAAAGUCUGAUGGAGCAGCGCCGCGUGAGUGAUGAAGGUUUUCGGAUCGUAAAACUCUGUUGUAAGGGAAGAACAAGUACGUUAGGAAAUGAACGUACCUUGACGGUACCUUAUUAGAAAGCCACGGCUAACUACGUGCCAGCAGCCGCGGUAAUACGUAGGGGGCAAGCGUUGUCCGGAUUUAUUGGGCGUAAAGCGCGCGCAGGCGGUUUCUUAAGUCUGAUGUGAAAGCCCACGGCUUAACCGUGGAGGGUCAUUGGAAACUGGGAGACUUGAGUGCAGAAGAGGAAAGUGGAAUUCCAAGUGUAGCGGUGAAAUGCGUAGAGAUUUGGAGGAACACCAGUGGCGAAGGCGACUUUCUGGUCUGCAACUGACGCUGAGGCGCGAAAGCAUGGGGAGCAAACAGGAUUAGAUACCCUGGUAGUCCAUGCCGUAAACGAUGAGUGCUAAGUGUUAGGGGGUUUCCGCCCCUUAGUGCUGCAGCUAACGCAUUAAGCACUCCGCCUGGGGAGUACGACCGCAAGGUUGAAACUCAAAGGAAUUGACGGGGGCCCGCACAAGCGGUGGAGCAUGUGGUUUAAUUCGAAGCAACGCGAAGAACCUUACCAGGUCUUGACAUCCCAGUGACCACUCUAGAGAUAGAGUUUUCCCUUCGGGGACAUUGGUGACAGGUGGUGCAUGGUUGUCGUCAGCUCGUGUCGUGAGAUGUUGGGUUAAGUCCCGCAACGAGCGCAACCCUUGAUCUUAGUUGCCAUCAUUCAGUUGGGCACUCUAAGGUGACUGCCGGUGACAAACCGGAGGAAGGUGGGGAUGACGUCAAAUCAUCAUGCCCCUUAUGACCUGGGCUACACACGUGCUACAAUGGACGGUACAAAGAGUCGCUAACUCGCGAGAGUACSCUAAUCUCAUAAAACCGUUCUCAGUUCGGAUUGUAGGCUGCAACUCGCCUACAUGAAGCCGGAAUCGCUAGUAAUCGCGGAUCAG
rnacentral:rRNA from 1 species